rnacentral:rRNA from 1 species
CCUACGGGUGGCAGCAGUGAGGAAUAUUGGUCAAUGGACGAGAGUCUGAACCAGCCAAGUAGCGUGAAGGAUGACUGCACUAUGGGUUGUAAACUUCUUGUAUAUGGGAAUAAAAAGUUACACGUGUGGGAUUUUGUAUGUACCAUAUGAAUAAGGAUCGGCUAACUCCGUGCCAGCAGCCGAGGUAAUACGGAGGAUCCGAGCGUUAUCCGGAUUGAUUGGGUUUAAAGGGAGCGUAGGUGGAUUGUUAAGUCAGUUGUGAAAGUUUGCGGCUCAACCGUAAAAUUGCAGUUGAAACUGGCAGUCUUGAGUACAGUAGCGGUGGGCGGAAUUCGUGGUGUAGCGGUGAAAUGCUUAGAUAUCACGAAGAACUCCGAUUGCGAAGGCAGUUCACUGGACUGCAACUGACACUGAGGCUCGAAAGUGUGGGUAUCAAACAGGAUUAGCUACCCGAGUAGUC